rnacentral:snoRNA from 1 species
UGGGAUGAUGAGCUUUUGCUUUGCUGAAAGAUGAAGAACACGCCCUUCACUGACCG